rnacentral:lncRNA from 7 species
GCGGGGCGGCCCCGGGGCUCCGAGCGCCGCCUCAGCUUCUGCGACCUCCCUUUUCCCCACUUAGAAUCGUGCAGAAGGAUCUGGAGACGUCCUAGAGAGGUUUGGGGGCAUCCAGGGGGUUCUGGACUCAUGCAGAAGAGUCUGGAGAUGUCCAAGGAGGAUCCAGGGAGUCCCCAGGCCUGCCUGCAGCCGGACCCGGUGACACCGGAGCCCUGUGGCGCUGUCACCAUCCUCUGUCCCGAGGACGGGAGGUGAACUCUGUGCCACCAGCAGAGGGGACCACGGGUGACAUCAGUGUGGAACAGCCGUGACGCGGCGGCGUUGUCAUUGGGUGUCACCGUCACGCAGAGGGGACAAAAGGACCCCCCUGGGGGCAUUGCGUCGAAGUUGGGGACACCGUGAGCAGCUUGAGGACUUCCCAGGGGAAGUGGGGGCCGCGUCACCGUGUCACACCCCAAAGUUGGGGGCACCCCUGUAGUUUCACACCCCGAAGUUGGAAAAACCCCCACAGUGUCACACCCCAAAGUUGGG